CAGCCGCCACGGUAAUACGAAGGGUGCAAGCGUUAAUCGGAAUUACUGGGCGUAAAGCGCGCGUAGGUGGUUUGUUAAGUUGGAUGUGAAAUCCCCGGGCUCAACCUGGGAACUGCAUCCAAAACUGGCAAGCUAGAGUAUGGUAGAGGGUGGUGGAAUUUCCUGUGUAGCGGUGAAAUGCGUAGAUAUAGGAAGGAACACCAGUGGCGAAGGCGACCACCUGGACUGAUACUGACGCUGAGGUACGAAAGCAUGGGGAGCAAACAGGAUUAGAUACCCGUGUAGUCCCUGUCUCUUAUAC
rnacentral:rRNA from 1 species